AACAACCUGCUACUAUUCUAAUAACCCGACCCAACCCAGAUCCAAUUGAAAAAAACAUAUAAACUCAGUAGGGUUUCUAAAAAUGAAACAACUUUCCUAAUCCUCUUCUCAUCUGCGCUUCCUUCCAAAAUGGAGAUCUCUUUCACCAACUCUAGCUUCCGCAAUGUUGUGCCUCCCUUGUCAUGGCUUCCUUGUGAUAUCAGCUUACAGAAUUGUGUUCUCCGGUGGAUGGGACAUUGAAAUGCUUUUUGUGCAGCUAAGAGGGAUCUGAUCAUUUGAGAGAGGCUGUUAUAUCCGAGUGAGCUGACCUUCUUCGUUCUUCCUCUUCUUUUUUUGGAUCUGAUGUUGUUGACUGUAACUUUUCUAGCUUGUGUUCCACAAAUAUGGUAGGGAAGAAGAUAUUGGGAUGCUUGGACCCACAAAAAUUCGGUUAGCAGCCUCAUUCUCAGGUUUAUCAAGCUCAAGUCGACUCAUAGACCCUCCCAUUAUGCUGAGAGUCCUUUUUGUUGGCUGGAAUAGCUUAGGCUAGUUAGUACAUGCACUCUUUUUGAUACUUCUGUGGGUUGUACAUAUGUUGCAUGUAAACUAUUCAACUUUAGCUUCUCCUAUUCCCUUAUCCUUUUGAAGGUGUAAUCCUCAAGUAUGGACUCUGCCAUUUACCACUAUUAAUUUAUGAUGGCUUUUCCUCCUUUGUCUA